AGUCGAGCGAACGGACGAGAAGCUUGCUUCUCUGAUGUUAGCGGCGGACGGGUGAGUAACACGUGGAUAACCUACCUAUAAGACUGGGAUAACUUCGGGAAACCGGAGCUAACACCGGAUAAUACUUUGAACCGCAUGGUUCAAAAGUGAAAGACGGUCUUGCUGUCACUUAUAGAUGGAUCCGCGCUGCAUUAGCUAGUUGGUAAGGUAACGGCUUACCAAGGCAACGAUGCAUAGCCGACCUGAGAGGGUGAUCGGCCACACUGGAACUGAGGCACGGUCCAGACUCCUACGGGAGGCAGCAGCAGGGAAUCUUCCGCAGUGGGCGAAAGCCUGACGGAGCAACGCCGCGUGAGUGAUGAAGGUCUUCGGAUCGUAAAACUCUGUUAUUAGGGAAGAACAUAUGUGUAAGUAACUGUGCACAUCUUGACGGUACCUAUUCAGAAAGCCACGGCUAACUACGUGCCAGCAGCCGCGGUAAUACGUAGGUGGCAAGCGUUAUCCGGAAUUAUUGGGCGUAAAGCGCGCGUAGGCGGUUUUUUAAGUCUGAUGUGAAAGCCCACGGCUCAACCGUGGAGGGUCAUUGGAAACUGGAAAACUUGAGUGCAGAAGAGGUAAGUGGAAUUCCAUGUGUAGCGGCGAAAUGCGCAGAGAUAUGGAGGAACACCAGU
rnacentral:rRNA from 1 species